rnacentral:rRNA from 1 species
GACGAACGCUGGCGGCGUGCUUAACACAUGCAAGUCGAACGGAAAGGCCCUGCUUUUGUGGGGUGCUCGAGUGGCGAACGGGUGAGUAACACGUGAGUAACCUGCCCUUGACUUUGGGAUAACUUCAGGAAACUGGGGCUAAUACCGGAUAGGAGCUCCUGCUGCAUGGUGGGGGUUGGAAAGUUUCGGCGGUUGGGGAUGGACUCGCGGCUUAUCAGCUUGUUGGUGGGGUAGUGGCUUACCAAGGCUUUGACGGGUAGCCGGCCUGAGAGGGUGACCGGGCACAUUGGGACUGAGAGAGGGACCAGACUCCUACGGGAGGCAGCGGGGGGGAAUAUGGCACAAUGGGCGGAAGCCUGAUGCAGCAACGCCGCGGGCGGGAUGACGGCCUUCGGGUUGUAAACCGCUUUCGCCUGUGACGAAGCGUGAGUGACGGUAAUGGGUAAAGAAGCACCGGCUAACUACGUG